rnacentral:rRNA from 1 species
AAGGAUCAUUGUCGAAACCUGCCUAGCAGAACGACCCGCGAACGCGUUGCAAACAACACCGGAGGUGGUGCGGGUGCAUCCUCGCCUCUCGCCACCCCCGUGUCUCGGAGCGGCCAGUCCCGUCGUCCCUUUGCCCGUCGGGUGGGGUGAGAUGCCGGGAUCAACCUCUUCGAGGCAAAGCGAACAAACCCCCGGCGCGAAUCGCGCCAAGGAAUCGAAACGAAAGAAGGGGCACGUCUUCUGUCGCCGCACCGUUCGCGGUGUCGAUGCUUCAGUGAUGUUGUUCUCUUGUCGCAAAAUAUACAGAACGACUCUCGGCAACGGAUAUCUCGGCUCUCGCAUCGAUGAAGAACGUAGCGAAAUGCGAUACUUGGUGUGAAUUGCAGAAUCCCGUGAACCAUCGAGUCUUUGAACGCAAGUUGCGCCCCAAGCCAUUAGGCCGAGGGCACGUCUGCCUGGGUGUCACGCAUCGUCGCCCCCAUCCAACCAUGAGCCCUCGAGCCUCGGUUGGACCGCGGGCGGAAAUUGGCCUCCCGUGCGCUCACAGCCAGCGGUUGGCCUAAAUUCGAGUCCUCGACGACAUCAUCGUCGCGACGAUCGGUGGUAAUGCUGCAAGCAACCUCGUUCGGAGUCGUGCGCGUCCGUCGAUCGAGACCCUUGAACCCUUUCGGCAUCGCAAGGACGGUGCUCGCAUCGCGACCCCAGGUCAGGCGGGAUUACCCGCUGAGUUUAA